CAUAACCGCAACUCAGGGGGGCCAACCCACAACAGACUCCAGCAGUCUCCCAAAACCAUAGCACAGAAACACUAAAACUUCCCGCGAGCAUAACACCCAACCACUGAGACCAAAAGUUGACUAUGUUUAUACUUGAUUGUGUAUUUUUGUAUUUUUGUAUGUUUUUUACGUCGGUAUUUAUGUUCCGUGGUAUAAUAUGGAUUAACCACUGUGCGACCUAUCAACACCCAACUAAUGCAACAGCAAAGCUGGAAACUAGCUGGACAAAUUGUCUACUCACAUAACAAUGUCAAACAUGUUAUAUCAUAAGACAAAUGUAUACACCAUGGUUGCAAAAUGCUUCUGAAAAGGUGAAAAUAAAUAAAGAAUGUUUUAAAAAAAAAAU